GGGCAGGAAAGGAGACUGUCUCUCUCUUUUGGAAAUAGGGCAGUAGUGCUGUGGAGUGCAGGCUGGUCUCAAACUCAUGCUAUGAUCUCCAUCCAGCCUCUUGAGUGCUGGGGUCACAGGUGUGAACCACCAUGCUUUGUGUCUCAGGUUUCUGUCACUGUGAUUUAAAAAAAACAAAAAAACAAAAAAACAAAAAAACACUCACCAAAACCAGUUUGGGAGGAAUGGGUUAAUUUCGCUUCCGGGUCCUGGUUCACAGCCCCUUGAAGGAAGUUAUGGUCGGAACUCCCAUCAGGAACUGAAGCAGAAACUGUGGAGGGCUGAGGAUUGCGGCCUGCAGGCUUGUUCCUUACGGCUUGCUCAGCCUGUUUUCUUUUGGUUUUCGACCUUCUGAGACAGGCUCUCACCACGUAGCUCUGGCUGGCCUGGGUCUUGCUCUGUAGACUAGCCAGCCUGCUUGCUUGUACAGCCCUGGACCGCCUGCCCAUGGAUGACACUGCCUCCGUGGGGUUUGGUCCUCCCAUAUGAAUCAAGAAAGUGCUCCCACAGACUCACCUGCAGUAGCUCAGUCUGAUGGAGGCGCUUUCUUUUGGCGGGGAAGGGGGUUCUCUACAGAGCCUAGUACUUGUUCUAGUACUCACUGUAUAGUCCAGGCCUGGCCUUGAACUCACAGAGAUCUGCUGCCUCUACCCCCUAGGGUUGUUAAAACAUGCACCACCAUGUGUGGCAGAGGCACUUUCUCAUUGAGGUUCCUCUUGCUAAAUGACUUUUGGCUUGUUUCAAGUUGAC
rnacentral:lncRNA from 1 species